rnacentral:rRNA from 1 species
GAUCCUGGCUCAGAAUCAACGCUGGCGGCAUGCCUAACACAUGCAAGUCGAGCGAGAAAGUGUAGCAAUACAUGAGUAAAGCGGCGCACGGGUGAGUAACACGUGGAUAACCUGCCUCAAAGUGGGGAAUAACACCGGGAAACCGGUGCUAAUACCGCAUAUUCUGACGAGAUCUGUGGAUUUUGUCAGGAAAGGAGCAAUUCGCUAUGAGAGGGGUCCGCGGCUGAUUAGCUAGUUGGUGAGGUAAUGGCUCACCAAGGCUUCGAUCAGUAGCCGGUCUGAGAGGACGGUCGGCCACACUGGAACUGAGACACGGUCCAGACUCCUACGGGAGGCAGCAGUGGGGAAUUUUUCGCAAUGGGGGAAACCCUGACGAAGCAAUGCCGCGUGGAUGAUGAAGUAUCUCGGUACGUAAAAUCCUUUCGACGGGGACGAAGCCGCAAGGUUGACGGUACCCGUAGAAGAAGCCCCGGCUAACUCCGUGCCAGCAGCCGCGGUAAUACGGGGGGGGCAAGCGUUGUUCGGAAUUACUGGGCGUAAAGGGUGCGUAGGCGGCUUUCUAAGUCGGAUGUGAAAACUCUGGGCUCAACCCAGAGCCUGCAUCUGAAACUGGAGAGCUAGGGUUUUGGAGGGGAAAGCGGAAUUCCAGGUGUAGCGGUGAAAUGCGUAGAUAUCUGGAGGAACACCGGUGGCGAAGGCGGCUUUCUGGACAAAUACCGACGCUGAGGCACGAAAGCUAGGGGAGCAAACAGGAUUAGAUACCCUGGUAGUCCUAGCCCUAAACUAUGGAUACUUGCUGUGGGGGGGAUUGAAGCCCCUUGUGGCGAAGCUAACGCAUUAAGUAUCCCGCCUGGGGAGUACGGUCGCAAGGCUGAAACUCAAAGGAAUUGACGGGGGCCCGCACAAGCGGUGGAGUAUGUGGUUUAAUUCGACGCAACGCGAAGAACCUUACCUGGGCUCGAACGGCUAGUGACAGGCGAUGAAAGUCGUUUUUCCCGCAAGGGACAUUAGUCGAGGUGCUGCAUGGCUGUCGUCCGCUCGUGUCGUGAGAUGUUGGGUUAAGUCCCGCAACGAGCGCAACCCCUGCCUUUAGUUGCUAACAGGUCAAGCUGAGCACUCUAAAGGGACUGCCGGUGAAAAACCGGAGGAAGGUGGGGACGACGUCAAGUCCUCAUGGCCUUUAUGUCCAGGGCUACACACGUACUACAAUGGCCGGUACAAAGAGUUGCAAACCUGCAAAGGGGAGCCAAUCUCAAAAAGCCGGUCUCAGUUCGGAUUGGAGUCUGCAACUCGACUCCAUGAAGCUGGAAUCGCUAGUAAUCGCUGAUCAGCAAGCAGCGGUGAAUACGUUCCCGGGCCUUGUACACACCGCCCGUCACAUCACGAAAGCCCGUUGUACUAGAAGCCGGUGAUUCAACCGCAAGGAGAUAGCCGUCCAAGGUAUGACUGGUGAUUGGGGUGAAGUCGUAACAAGGUAACC